rnacentral:rRNA from 1 species
UGCAGUCGAGCGGUAAGGCCUCUUCGGGGGUACACGAGCGGCGAACGGGUGAGUAACACGUGAGCAAUCUGCCCUUCACUCGCGGAUAACUACCGGAAACGGUGGCUAAUACGUGAUGCGACCGCUUCCUGCAUGGGAUGGUGGUGGAAAGUUUUGGCGGUGGGGGAUGAGCUCGCGGCCUAUCAGCUUGUUGGUGAGGUAAUGGCUUACCAAGGCUUCGACGGGUAGCCGGCCUGAGAGGGUGACCGGCCACACUGGGACUGAGACACGGCCCAGACUCCUACGGGAGGCAGCAGUGGGGAAUAUUGGACAAUGGGCGAAAGCCUGAUCCAGCAACGCCGCGUGAGGGAUGACGGCCUUCGGGUUGUAAACCUCUUUCAGUACCGACGAAGCGCAAGUGACGGUAGGUACAGAAGAAGCACCGGCCAACUACGUGCCAGCAGCCGCGGUAAUACGUAGGGUGCGAGCGUUGUCCGGAAUUAUUGGGCGUAAAGGGCUCGUAGGCGGUUUGUCACGUCGGGAGUGAAAACUCGGGGCUUAACUCCGAGCCUGCUUCCGAUACGGGCUGACUAGAGGUAUGCAGGGGAGAACGGAAUUCCUGGGUGUAGCGGUGAAAUGCGCAGAUAUCAGGAGGAACACCGGUGGCGAA